AAUGAACGCUGGCGGCGUGCCUAACACAUGCAAGUCGAACGAGAAAGCCUGGCUUGCCAGGCGAGUAAAGUGGCGCACGGGUGAGUAACGCGUGGGUAAUCUACCUUUGUCUGGGGGGAUAACCUACCGAAAGGUGGGCUAAUACCGCAUAACGUGGUCGGGUUGUGACCUGAUCACCAAAGAUGGCCUCUCCAUGGAAGCUAUCGGGUAAAGAUGAGCCCGCGUCCCAUUAGCUAGUUGGUAAGGUAAUGGCUUACCAAGGCUACGAUGGGUAGCUGGUCUGAGAGGAUGACCAGCCACACUGGGACUGAGACACGGCCCAGACUCCUACGGGUGGCAG
rnacentral:rRNA from 1 species